GCAGUGGGCAACAGCUGUGGUGUUCAGCACCAGGUCCUUCCACAUACAGGUGAACUGGCAGACAGAAUGAGGUGAUCACCCCACAGCAGGAAGCUGUGGAGUGAUGAGAAGGCAAGUUCCCUUAUAAAGCAGGAUUGCAACUUGAAGGUGGCUGAUAUCCAUGGUUGGAAGCUGGCAAAUGUUGGGGCGGGGAAACCAUUGGGGAGUUUGUAUUUGAAAAGCAGUGGAUGCCAGAAGGCUGAAGCAGACUUAUGUUUGUGGAUGUAAGCUGGUUGAAAUUCACCUUUGGAAGCUCGUUGACAUAAGCUGUGUGGACAUUUGUGGAUUGAAGCUGGGCCAUGUAUAUGAAUGAAGAGUGGCUAAUGGAGUAACGGCUCU